rnacentral:misc_RNA from 1 species
GAUGAAGAACGUAGCGAAAUGCGAUAAGUAAUGUGAAUUGCAGAAUUCAGUGAAUCAUCGAAUCUUUGAACGCACCUUGCGCUCCUUGGUAUUCCGAGGAGCAUGCCUGUUUGAGCGUCAUUUCAACCAUCAAGCCCUAGGCUUGCGUUGGAGCCCUGCGGCUGCCGCAGGCUCCCAAAUCCAGUGGCGGGCUCGUCGUCGUACCGAGUGCAGUAAACAUCCUCGCUCAGGGAACGUGACGGGUUCUUGCCGUGAAACCCCCCACAUAUCAAGGUUGACCUCGGAUCAGGUAGGAAUACCCGCUGAACUUAAGCAUAUCAAUAAGCGGAGGA